rnacentral:rRNA from 1 species
AGAGUUGAUCAUGGCUCAGGAUGAACGCUGGCGGCGUGCCUAACACAUGCAAGUCGAACGGAGCUAUUACGGACUGCGAUCGUCAAAGGAAGUUUAGCUAGUGGCGGACGGGUGAGUAACGCGUGGGUAACCUGCCUCAUAGAGGGGGAUAACAGUUGGAAACGAUUGCUAAUACCGCAUAAGCCCACAGGACCGCAUGGUCCAGGGGGAAAAGAUUCAUCGCUAUGAGAUGGACCCGCGUUUGAUUAGUUAGUUGGCGGUGUAACGGACCACCAAGGCGACGAUCAAUAGCCGGACUGAGAGGUUGAACGGCCACAUUGGGACUGAGACACGGCCCAAACUCCUACGGGAGGCAGCAGUGGGGAAUAUUGCACAAUGGGGGGAAAAACCCCUGAUGCAGCGACGCCGCGUGGGUGAAGAAGUUUUUCGGAAUGUAAAGCCCUAUCAGCAGGGAAGAAAAUGACGGUACCUGACUAAGAAGCCCCGGCUAACUACGUGCCAGCCGCCGC